GACGAACCGUGCGAACGUUAUUCGGAAUCAUUGGGCUUAAAGGGCGCGUAGGCGGGGAGGUAAGUCGGGUGUGAAAUCCCUCGGCCCAACUGAGGAACUGCGCCCGAGACUGCUUCUCUUGAGUCCCGGAGAGGAAGAUGGAAUUCCCGGUGUAGCGGUGAAAUGUGUAGAGAUCGGGAGGAACACCGGUGGCGAAGGCGGUCUUCUGGACGGUGACUGACGCUGAGGCGCGAAAGCGUGGGGAGCAAACGGG
rnacentral:rRNA from 1 species